rnacentral:rRNA from 1 species
CCUACGGGAGGCAGCAGUGGGGAAUAUUGGGCAAUGGGCGCAAGCCUGACACAGCAACGCCGCGUGAAGGAUGAAGGUGUUCGGAUUGUAAACUUCUGUCGCGAGGGACGAAGAAGGACGGUACAGCGUAAGAAAGCCCCGGCUAACUACGUGCAAGCAGCCGCGGUAAUAAGUAGGGGGCAAGCGUUGACCGGAAGGACUGGGCGGAAAGGGAGUGGAGGCGGCCUUGUAAGUUAGAUGUGAAAUCCUACGGCUUAACCGUAGAACUGCAUUUAAAACUGUGAGGCUGGAGGGCAGGAGAGUUGAGUGGAAUUCCUGGUGUAGCGGUGGAAUGCGUAGAUAUUAGGAGGAACACCAGAGGCGAAGGCGACUCACUGGACUGUAACUGACGCUGAGGCUCGAAAGCGUGGGGAGCAAACAGGAUUAGAUACCCUUGUAGUC